rnacentral:rRNA from 1 species
AGAGUUUGAUCCUGGCUCAGGACGAACGCUGGCGGCGUGCUUAACACAUGCAAGUCGAACGAGAAUCUGUGGAUCGAGGAUUCGUCCAAGUGAAGCAGAGGACAGUGGCGGACGGGUGAGUAACGCGUGAGGAACCUGCCUUUCAGAGGGGGACAACAGUUGGAAACGACUGCUAAUACCGCAUGAUACAUUUGGGUGGCAUCAUCUGAAUGUCAAAGAUUUAUCGCUGAAAGAUGGCCUCGCGUCUGAUUAGCUGGUUGGUGAGGUAACGGCCCACCAAGGCGACGAUCAGUAGCCGGACUGAGAGGUUGACCGGCCACAUUGGGACUGAGAUACGGCCCAGACUCCUACGGGAGGCAGCAGUGGGGAAUAUUGGGCAAUGGGCGCAAGCCUGACCCAGCAACGCCGCGUGAAGGAAGAAGGCUUUCGGGUUGUAAACUUCUUUUAAGAGGGAAGAGCAGAAGACUGUACCUCUAGAAUAAGCCACGGCUAACUACGUGCCAGCAGCCGCGGUAAUACGUAGGUGGCAAGCGUUGUCCGGAUUUACUGGGUGUAAAGGGCGUGCAGCCGGGAAUGCAAGUCAGAUGUGAAAUCCAUGGGCUUAACCCAUGAACUGCAUUUGAAACUGUAUUUCUUGAGUACUGGAGAGGCAAUCGGAAUUCCUAGUGUAGCGGUGAAAUGCGUAGAUAUUAGGAGGAACACCAGUGGCGAAGGCGGAUUGCUGGACAGCAACUGACGGUGAGGCGCGAAAGUGUGGGGAGCAAACAGGAUUAGAUACCCUGGUAGUCCACACUGUAAACGAUGAAUACUAGGUGUGCGGGGACUGACCCCCUGCGUGCCGCAGUUAACACAAUAAGUAUUCCACCUGGGGAGUACGAUCGCAAGGUUGAAACUCAAAGGAAUUGACGGGGGCCCGCACAAGCGGUGGAUUAUGUGGUUUAAUUCGAAGCAACGCGAAGAACCUUACCAGGGUUUGACAUCCUGCUAACGAAGUAGAGAUACAUUAGGUGCCCUUCGGGGAAAGCAGAGACAGGUGGUGCAUGGUUGUCGUCAGCUCGUGUCGUGAGAUGUUGGGUUAAGUCCCGCAACGAGCGCAACCCUU